AUCUCCUACGGGAGGCAGCAGUGAGGAAUAUUGGUCAAUGGGCGCGAGCCUGAACCAGCCAAGUCGCGUGAGGGAAGACGGUCCUAUGGAUUGUAAACCUCUUUUGCCGGGGAGCAAGCUGAGUCACGUGUGGCUCAGCUGAGAGUACCCGGAGAAAAAGCAUCGGCUAACUCCGUGCCAGCAGCCGCGGUAAUACGGAGGAUGCGAGCGUUAUCCGGAUUUAUUGGGUUUAAAGGGUGCGUAGGCGGACUGUCAAGUCAGCGGUAAAAUUGAGAGGCUCAACCUCUUCGAGCCGUUGAAACUGG
rnacentral:rRNA from 1 species